UGAACUCCAAGCAGAUCUUGACUGGAGGAAAUCAGUUUACCGGGCUGCCUUGAAGAAGGCUCAACUGUAUGCAGAUUGGCGGAAGGAGAAGUUCCAGGCCU